rnacentral:tRNA from 1 species
GCUUCUGUAGCUCAGUCGGCAAGAGCGGUUGCCUGUUAAGCAAAUGGCCGAUGGUUCAAAUCCAUCCAGAAGCG